AACGAACGCUGGCGGCAUGCCUAACACAUGCAAGUCGAACGAACUCUUCGGAGUUAGUGGCGCACGGGUGCGUAACGCGUGGGAAUCUGCCCUUGGGUACGGAAUAACUCAGAGAAAUUUGUGCUAAUACCGUAUAAUGACUUCGGUCCAAAGAUUUAUCGCCCAAGGAUGAGCCCGCGUAAGAUUAGCUAGUUGGUGGGUAAAGCCUACCAAGGCGACGAUCUUUAGCUGGUCUGAGAGGAUGAUCAGCCACACUGGGACUGAGACACGGCCCAGACUCCUACGGGAGGCAGCAGUGGGGAAUAUUGGACAAUGGGCGAAAGCCUGAUCCAGCAAUGCCGCGUGAGUGAUGAAGGCCUUAGGGUUGUAAAGCUCUUUACCCGGGAUGAUAAUGACAGUACCGGGAGAAUAAG
rnacentral:rRNA from 1 species